rnacentral:rRNA from 1 species
UACGAAGGGGGCUAGCGUUGCUCGGAAUCACUGGGCGUAAAGCGCACGUAGGCGGCUUUCUAAGUCAGGGGUGAAAUCCUGGAGCUCAACUCCAGAACUGCCUUUGAUACUGGGAAGCUCGAGUCCGGAAGAGGUGAGUGGAACUGCGAGUGUAGAGGUGAAAUUCGUAGAUAUUCGCAAGAACACCAGUGGCGAAGGCGGCUCACUGGUCCGGUACUGACGCUGAGGUGCGAAAGCUAGGGGAGCGAACAGG